rnacentral:misc_RNA from 1 species
AAGGAUCAUUAUUGAAUACUCUUGAUGGGUUGUAGCUGGCUCUUCGGGGCAUGUGCACACUUGUCUUGACUUUAUUCAUCCACCUGUGCACCUUUUGUAGUCUUGUGGGUUGAGAGCAGUCGACUAUCGGAUGGCUAUGGCCUUUCCGGACGUGAGGAAUGCUGAGUGCGAAAGCAUACAGCUCUUCUCAAAUGACUUGCAAAACCUCUCCCUCAAGUACUAUGUAUUCAUAUACCACAUAGUAUGUUGUCGAAUGUGAUCAAUGGGCCUAUGUGCCUAUAAAAAUCAUAUACAACUUUCAGCAACGGAUCUCUUGGCUCUC